AGUCGAACGGAGCUGAGAGGAGCUUGCUUUUCUUAGCUUAGUGGCGAACGGGUGAGUAACGCGUGAGUAACCUGCCCUGGAGUGGGGGACAACAGUUGGAAACGACUGCUAAUACCGCAUAAGCCCACGGCCCGGCAUCGGGCUGAGGGAAAAGGAUUUAUUCGCUUCAGGAUGGACUCGCGUCCAAUUAGCUAGUUGGUGAGGUAACGGCCCACCAAGGCGACGAUUGGUAGCCGGACUGAGAGGUUGAACGGCCACAUUGGGACUGAGACACGGCCCAGACUCCUACGGGAGGCAGCAGUGGGGGAUAUUGCACAAUGGGGGAAACCCUGAUGCAGCGACGCCGCGUGGAGGUAGAAGGUUUUCGGAUUGUAAACUCCUGUCGUUAGGGACGAUAAUGACGGUACCUAACAAGAAAGCACCGGCUAACUACGUGCCAGCAGCCGCGGUAAAACGUAGGGUGCAAGCGUUGUCCGGAAUUACUGGGUGUAAAGGGAGCGCAGGCGGACCGGCAAGUUGGAAGUGAAAACUAUGGGCUCAACCCAUAAAUUGCUUUCAAAACUGCUGGCCUUGAGUAGUGCAGAGGUAGGUGGAAUUCCCGGUGUAGCGGUGGAAUGCGUAGAUAUCGGGAGGAACACCAGUGGCGAAGGCGACCUACUGGGCACCAACUGACGCUGAGGCUCGAAAGCAUGGGUAGCAAACAGGAUUAGAUACCCUGGUAGUCCAUGCCGUAAACGAUGAUUACUAGGUGUUGGAGGAUUGACCCCUUCAGUGCCGCAGUUAACACAAUAAGUAAUCCACCUGGGG
rnacentral:rRNA from 1 species